rnacentral:lncRNA from 1 species
AAUAAUAAGUAAGCCUCAAAAAUAGAAGGGUUUCAAAGAAUAAAAAUGCUGAAAAUAACAAAAAAAACUCAAUUGAAACAAAAAUGAAACUAAAAGGAUCAUUAAUAAAUAAAAUCAGUUGCUGAAAUUAGGAAAAGGACUCAGUUUUGACGCGCGCGCGAAUGCAAGGGACUAAAACUGGCAAUAUACUAGAACCCAAAAUGAUGCAUUUAGGCGCUGAUUAGAUUGCACUCGUGCGCAAAAUACAAAGCCGAAUUUAAAAAAAUUGAAAUGAAUAAGACACCAUUGAAUGUCCGUACAAAAAGGAGGGGCUGAUUGUGAAAUAAUACCCUCUCCACGAGAGCACGCGGGUCCUUGGGCGGAGAAACGGAUCGGGUCGGGCGCAGUUAUACGACACCGUUUGGAGAGCCAUUAGGCAGGGCCUAAAACGGUGUCGUUCGAGGUUGAAUAAAAGGGCUAAAUCGACAGCUUUGGCCGAACCUAAACCCUAACAUCAUUUCUUUUCUCUCCGGCAGCCCCUAAGCCUCUCCUCUCCAAUGCCAAGCCGCAACCAUGUCGAUGGCCGGCAUCCUCAGGCUACAUGCGAACACUUUGUGGCCUUGAGGUUCCCCUUAAGUCUCCGAUUUCGGCGAAGCAAAGAAGAACCGAUGGCUUAUUUUCCAGGUAAGGUUUCGUCUCCUUUUUCUUUUAUUUAGAUGUAAAGAACGAAAAAGAAAAUCAAAAAGGGAAAUCGAGAGAGAAAAUAGCGUAAUAAACCCCGGAGAUUCAAAAGCAGAAGAUCACCUUGUUCUAUUUUUUGCUUUCUAUUCCUUCUGAAUGUGUGUGUAUUCUCUGUGAACGUACCCUUUACAACGAUUACAGAUCCUGGCUUUAUAGCCGAAAAAAGAAAGAGAAAAUAAAUAAAAAGAAUUCGACAUUUGUUCUUUGUUUUUUUCUGCUCUAUGCUGUUGUUGCGUUUGUACCUUUCUUCGCAGGUACAGGUGUGCGCUCGGGUACGGGGCCGUGUGCUGGCGCGGGCGUGACUGCUGGACGGUACGGAGGCCAAGGCUGAAGCUUGGCUGGUUGCGGUGCAAAGGGGAACCUUAGGGUUCCUGAGGAUUGCUUGACCUUUGGGCCAAUCGGGCUGUAUUUUGGGUCUAGGUUAAUGGGCCAUUGUAUUUGGUUUUGGGUCUAAACAAUGGGUUUGGGCUAUUGUUAUAAUUUCAGACUAAUGGACUUUUAAUAAUAUUUGUUGGUUUUUUAAUAUAUAUAUUUAUUUAUUUAUUGUUGUAUAUUUGGGUUUCUAGUGGGUCCAGGCAAAUUUUCCCAUUUACAAUUAUCAAAAAGGAAAAAUAAAAUUAUCAAAGAUUACCCUAAAA